UGUGUGUGUGUGUGUGUGUGUGUGUGUGUGUGUGUGUGUGUGUGUGUGUUUUGCGUGUUUUUAUGAAGCCAGUGUGUGUGGACAUCCUGUGUGCUCAGUAGGCUGGAAUUAGAGCACAGCGUGUUAUGCAAUUAUAACUUUAUAAAUAGAAGCAUUGUGUGUGUGUGUGUGUGUGUGUGUGUGUGUGUGUGUGUGUGUGUAGGCCUCCGUCUCCAUCUGCUUGACUUGUUCUAACUGAACAACUCCACAAAUGCUCAUUUUAUUGUUUCAUUGCAUCUUUUUUUUCUUUUUUAAAUGUGCACGCCGUGUUUCACAC